rnacentral:rRNA from 1 species
AACGAACGCUGGCGGCAUGCCUAACACAUGCAAGUCGAACGAGACCUUCGGGUCUAGUGGCGCACGGGUGCGUAACGCGUGGGAACCUGCCCUUAGGUUCGGAAUAACUCCCCGAAAGGGGUGCUAAUACCGGAUAAUGUCUUCGGACCAAAGAUUUAUGGCCUUUGGAUGGGCCCGCGUUGGAUUAGCUAGUUGGUAGGGUAAAAGCCUACCAAGGCGACGAUGCAUAGCUGGUCUGAGAGGAUGAUCAGCCACACUGGGACUGAGACACGGCCCAGACUCCUACGGAAGGCAGCAGUGGGGAAUAUUGGACGAUGGGCGAAAGCCUGAUCCAGCAAUGCCGCGUAAGUGAUGAAGGCCUUAGGGUUGUAAAGCUCUUUUACCCGGGAUGAUAAUGACAGUACCGGGAGAAUAAGCUCCGGCUAACUCCGUG